rnacentral:rRNA from 1 species
AAGGAAGGCAGCAGGCGCGCAACUUACCCUAAUCUCGAUUCGAGGAGGUAGUGACAAGAAAUACCGAUGCGGGACCCUACGGGUGCCGCGUUCGGAAUGAGUACGAUUCGAACCACCUAACGAGGAACGAUCGGAGGGCAAGUCUGGUGCCAGCAGCCGCGGUAAUUCCAGCUCCAAUAGCGUACGUUAAAGUUGCUGCAGUUAAAAAGCUCGUAGUUGAACGUUCGGGUUCCGCGGGACGGGGCCGCCCCGCGAGGGACGGCGCCGCCCCGGGGCUCGUGAUAUCUUAUCUCGCCGCCCGUCGCGAGGCGGACGGAGGGAUGGAUGAGGUUACCUGGAAAAAAUCGGGGCGAUCUAGGCGGGCGAACCUCGCCAACGAACGAUCGGACAUGGGAUAACGGAAGAGGG